UGCCUUACACAUGCAAGUCGAACGGCAGCACGGACUUCGGUCUGGUGGCGAGUGGCGAACGGGUGAGUAAUGUAUCGGAACGUGCCCAGUAGCGGGGGAUAACUACGCGAAAGCGUAGCUAAUACCGCAUACGCCCUACGGGGGAAAGCAGGGGAUCGCAAGACCUUGCACUAUUGGAGCGGCCGAUAUCGGAUUAGCUAGUUGGUGGGGUAACGGCUCACCAAGGCGACGAUCCGUAGCUGGUUUGAGAGGACGACCAGCCACACUGGGACUGAGACACGGCCCAGACUCCUACGGGAGGCAGCAGUGGGGAAUUUUGGACAAUGGGGGAAACCCUGAUCCAGCCAUCCCGCGUGUGCGAUGAAGGCCUUCGGGUUGUAAAGCACUUUUGGCAGGAAAGAAACGUCGCGGGUUAAUACCCCGCGGAACUGACGGUACCUGCAGAAUAAGCACCGGCUAACUACGUGCCAGCAGCCGCGGUAAUACGUAGGGUGCAAGCGUUAAUCGGAAUUACUGGGCGUAAAGCGUGCGCAGGCGGUUCGGAAAGAAAGAUGUGAAUCCCAGAGCUUAACUUUGGAACUGCAUUUUUAACUACCGGGCUAGAGUGUGUCAGAGGGAGGUGGAAUUCCGCGUGUAGCAGUGAAAUGCGUAGAUAUGCGGAGGAACGCCGAUGGCGAAGGCAGCCUCCUGGGAUAAC
rnacentral:rRNA from 1 species